rnacentral:rRNA from 1 species
AAAACGACUCUUCAGCAACGGAUAU